GGGGAAUAUUGCACAAUGGGCGCAAGCCUGAUGCAGCCAUGCCGCGUGUAUGAAGAAGGCCUUCGGGUUGUAAAGUACUUUCAGCAGUGAGGAAGGUGGGUAUGUUAAUAGCAUACUCAUUUGACGUUAGCUGCAGAAGAAGCACCGGCUAACUCCGUGCCAGCAGCCGCGGUAAUACGGAGGGUGCGAGCGUUAAUCGGAAUUACUGGGCGUAAAGCGCAUGCAGGUGGUUGUUAAGUCAGAUGUGAAAGCCCGGGGCUCAACCUCGGAAUUGCAUUUGAAACUGGCAAACUAGAGUACUGUAGAGGGGGUAGAAUUUCAGGUGUAGCGGUGAAAUGCGUAGAGAUCUGAAGGAAUACCGGUGGCGAAGGCGGCCCCCUGGACAGAUACUGACACUCAGAUGCGAAAGCGUGGGGAGCAAACAGGAUUAGAUACCCUGGUCG
rnacentral:rRNA from 1 species